UAUGGUAGUGUAGCAGCCGCGGUAAUACGUAGGGAGCGAGCGUUGUCCGGAAUGACUGGGUGUAAAGGGAGCGUAGGCGGGAUGGCAAGUCAGAUGUGAAACCUGAGGGCUCAACCUUCAGACUGCAUUUGAAACUGCUGUUCUUGAGUGAAGUAGAGGUAAGCGGAAUUCCUGGUGUAGCGGUGAAAUGCGUAGAGAUCAGGAGGAACAUCGGUGGCGAAGGCGGCUUACUGGGCUUUUACUGACGCUGAGGCUCGAAAGCGUGGGGAGCAAACAGG
rnacentral:rRNA from 1 species